rnacentral:rRNA from 1 species
AUACCACUUGUUGCCUCGGCGGAUCAGCCCGCUCCCGGUAAAACGGGACGGCCCGCCAGAGGACCCCUAAACUCUGUUUCUAUAUGUAACUUCUGAGUAAAACCAUAAAUAAAUCAAAACUUUCAACAACGGAUCUCUUGGUUCUGGCAUCGAUGAAGAACGCAGCAAAAUGCGAUAAGUAAUGUGAAUUGCAGAAUUCAGUGAAUCAUCGAAUCUUUGAACGCACAUUGCGCCCGCCAGUAUUCUGGCGGGCAUGCCUGUUCGAGCGUCAUUUCAACCCUCAAGCACAGCUUGGUGUUGGGACUCGCGUUAAUUCGCGUUCCUCAAAUUAAUUGGCGGUCACGUCGAGCUUCCAUAGCGUAGUAGUAAAACCCUCGUUACUGGUAAUCGUCGCGGCCACGCCGUUAAACCCCAACUUCUGAAUGUUGACCUCGGAUCAGGUAGGAAUACCCGCUGAACUUAAGCAUAUCA